GGUCCCCUCGCCCACUUCACUUCCCUCCAUUGAAAAUUAAUGGCGUUCUCGCCCUAUUGCUUUCAACACGGGUCAGUGGAUCUCGGCAGUCGCUCACUCGCGAGCGCUCCUUAGACCGUACGUGACAGACAUGGAGCUCCGAGAUGCUCAAAUUACAAACAAAGGAAACAAACCAAAACAUUUUUUUGUAGGCUUAGAGGGUAUUCAUGUGCACCUAAACAUCGCAUCCACUUCGAGGAUGCAAACAGGAGCCCAGUUUCCUGCAGAGCAAAGCUGUGUAUGACUUCCAUGUCCAUCCAUAGAAGCUUCAAAGGACAUCAAAGAUCUUUAUUAUAAAGGGAGCUGUCACCCAGAUGUCAACUGCUAAGCGAGACAAACAACACAUCCCAGAAUCCCCCAGAAGUCACAGCCUCUGAGACGUGAGGGGUACAAGACACAUUCUUCAGUAUCAGCUGGCCAUUGCACUCUCCCCAAACUCUCUUCAAUUAUACCACACAGUGAAGCUGCAUUGUGAGGUUCCAGUAAUGUAAUCCCCCUAAAUCAAAAUGCAAAUCAGGCCUAUUCUCAAUCCUUUAUGCUCCCUUCUUUUUUGAAGAUGGCUAGCCGGCGAACGCUGUGAUGGUGUUUUUGUGCUUUGUGUGGGAAGAAACCUUACU